rnacentral:rRNA from 1 species
UAAAGCGUACGUAGGCGGUUUACUAAGUCAGAUGUGAAAGCCCCGGGCUUAACCUGGGAACUGCAUUUGAUACUGGUAGGCUAGAGUAUGGUAGAGGGGGGUAGAAUUCAUAGUGUAGCGGUGAAAUGCGUAGAUAUUAUGAGGAAUACCAGUGGCGAAGGCGGCCCCCUGGACCAAUACUGACGCUGAGGUACGAAAGCGUGGGUAGCGAACAGGAUUAGAUACCCUGGUAGUCCACGCCGUAAACGAUGUCAACUAGCCGUUGGGACCUUGAGGUCUCAGUGGUGCAGCUAACGCGUGAAGUUGACCGCCUGGGGAGUACGGCCGCAAGGCUAAAACUCAAAUGAAUUGACGGGGGCCCGCACAAGCGGUGGAGCAUGUGGUUUAAUUCGAUGCAACGCGAAGAACCUUACCUACCCUUGACAUUGACAGAAUCCAGUAGAGAUACAGGAGUGCCUUCGGGCCUGGAAAACAGGUGCUGCAUGGCUGUCGUCAGCUCGUGUCGUGAGAUGUUGGGUUAAGUCCCGCAACGAGCGCAACCCUUAUCCUUAGUUGCCAGC